rnacentral:rRNA from 1 species
UACGUAGGUGGCAAGCGUUGUCCGGAUUUAUUGGGCGUAAAGCGCUCGCAGGCGGUCUUUUAAGUCUGAUGUGAAAUCUCGUGGCUUAACCACGAGCGGUCAUUGGAAACUGGAGGACUUGAGUGCAGAAGAGGAGAGUGGAAUUCCACGUGUAGCGGUGAAAUGCGUAGAGAUGUGGAGGAACACCAGUGGCGAAGGCGACUCUCUGGUCUGUAACUGACGCUGAGGAGCGAAAGCGUGGGGAGCGAACAGGAUUAGAAACCCCCGUAGUCC